GGGCAUUCAAGUGGCAGUUUGCAGACAUGGGUUUCUCUUACGAGGACUGAACCACUUCCGUGGAGAAAUAUACGCGUACCCAAUGUUUCUCCAAAAAGAGAUGUCCAAGAAGGCAAAUGUUGACUUCUUCUGUAUGGAUGUAACAUGCAGGUACUGGCCAUACCUUAAUAAAAUAGCCGAGGGAUUACCAGAGCUUCUGCCGUUGACAGAAAUGAGGCCAUUUCUUAGCGUGAUGCAUGCUAAAGCCCAUACAGCAAAAUGCGAGGU